rnacentral:rRNA from 1 species
GCAUAUCAAUAAGCUGAGGAAAAGAAACUAACUAGGAUUCCCUUAGUAACGGCGAGUGAACCGGGAUGAGCUCAAAUUUAAAAUCUGGCGUCUUUCAGGCGUCCGAGUUGUAAUCUAUAGAGGCGUUUUCCGCGCCGGACCGCGUCCAAGUCUCUUGGAAUAGAGUAUCAAAGAGGGUGACAAUCCCGUACUCGACGCGACAACCGGUGCUCUGUGAUACGUUCUCAAUGAGUCGAGUUGUUUGGGAAUGCAGCUCUAAAUGGGUGGUAAAUUCCAUCUAAGGCUAAAUAUUGGCGAGAGACCGAUAGCGAACAAGUACCGUGAGGGAAAGAUGAAAAGCACUUUGGAAAGAGAGUUAAACAGCACGUGAAAUUGUUAAAAGGGAAACGAUUGAAGUCAGUCGUGUGAAAGGUAUUCAGCCGUCUCUGGCGGUGUAUUUGCCUUUCACGGGUCAACAUCAGUUUGAUCCGGUAGAAAAAGGCGGGAGGAAGGUGGCACCCUCGGGUGUGUUAUAGCCUCCUGUCAUAUGUGCCGGACCAGACUGAGGAACGCAGCUUGCCGCAAGGCCGGGGUUCGCCCACGUACAAGCUUAGGAUGUUGACAUAAUGGCUUUAAACGACCCGUCUUGAAACACGGACC